UCGUCAGGUAGGAUAACCUUUGCCUCUGUUCCUCUAUUCAGAUGGCAGGUAGAAUAAUGAUCAAAGUUCACAAGAUUUCUGAUUAGCAUCUCUGCAUGAUUAGGGCUUGCAGCACCCGAAUUGCUCCUAUCUGAU
ensembl:snoRNA U8 U8 small nucleolar RNA